UAUUGCUCUUGAACGAGGAAUCCCUAGUAAGCAUGAGUCAUCAGCUCAUGCUGAUUACGUCCCUGCCCUUUGUACACACCGCCCGUCGCUACUACCGAUUGAAUGGCUUAGUGAGACCUUCGGAUCGACUCGCGGAAGCCUUAACCGGCAUCCGUUUGUUGAGAAGUUGGUCAAACUUGGUCAUUUAGAGGAAGUAAAAGUCGUAACAAGGUUUCCGUAGGUGAACCUGCGGAAGGAUCAUUAAAAAAAAUGGGGUAUUUAUACCUCUUGUAUUUAAAACAACUCUUUAAUAAACAUUUUUUAAAUAAAAAUAAAAACUUUCAACAACGGAUCCCUUGGCUCUCGCAUCGAUGAAGAACGCAGCGAAAUGCGAUAAGUAGUGUGAAUUGCAGAAAUUGUGAAUCAUCGAAUCUUUGAACGCAAAUUGCACUCUCUGGUAUUCCGGGGAGUAUGCCUGUUUGAGGGUCGUUAGAAAAAAAAUCGAAGCCGUCGCUCUUUAUGAAAUAUUUAACAUAUUUUGUUUGGGUGAUUGCGUCGGAAUUGAGCCGUCUUUCAUAUGUUAAUUCAUGUCAAAGUGGCUUAAAAUUCAUCAAUCUGGUACGAUUUUUAAAGCGUAUCUAAGAUCAGUCUUGGUUAAGAACGCGCGAUGACGUACCAUCUCAUGUAGUACGUUCGACCUGCUUGUCAGGCUCAUUCGUAUACGAUACUCAACUUUUGACCUCAAAUCAGGUAAGAAUACCCGCUGAACUUAAGCAUAUCAGUAAGCGGAGGAAAAGAAAAUAACAAUGAUUCCCCUAGUAACGGCGAGUGAAGAGGGAUAAGCUCAAUUUUUAAAUCUGAUGGGUUUCUUAUCAGAAUUGUAGUUUGAAGAAACGUUUUCUGCGUCUUGUUAACCCAAAUCUUUUGGAACAAGGUAUCAUGGAGGGUGACAAUCCCGUUCAUGGUUAACGUCAAGAUGCGUUACGAUACGUUUUCAAAGAGUCGAGUUGUUUGGGAUUGCAGCUCAAAAUGGGAGGUAAAUUUCUCCUAAAGCUAAAUAUUGGCGAGAGACCGAUAGCGAACAAGUACCGUGAGGGAAAGAUGAAAAGAACUUUGAAAAGAGAGUUAAACAGUACGUGAAAUUGUUGAAAGGGAAACGAUUGAAGUCAGUCGUACUAACGGGAAAUCAACCUUUUUGAGUUGUAAAUUUUGGAUUUCGAAGAGUGUUCGGGUUCAAAUAUUUGCGCUUUAGGGGCGUAAUUUCUCGUUCGGUAGGUUAACAUCGAUUUUGAAGAUUAUAAAAUGAUCGGAGGAAUGUAGCUUCGAUCUCGUAUUGAAGUGUUAUAGCCUUUGGUAGAUGUAAUGAUCAAGAUCGAGGAUUGCAACGAAUACCCUUUGGGCUAUCCGUCUGAUCUCUGAUACGUUGCCUUGGUAACGAAAGCUUGCUUACGGUAUUGAGGUAUUACGGUCAAAAGGUUAGAACGUGAUUACAUUUGUUAAGGAUGUUGACGUAACGGCUUUAAACGACCCGUCUUGAAACACGGACCAAGGAGUCUAACAUGUGUGCGAGUGUU
rnacentral:rRNA from 1 species